GUGGGGAAUCUUGCGCAAUGGGCGAAAGCCUGACGCAGCCAUGCCGCGUGAAUGAUGAAGGUCUUAGGAUUGUAAAAUUCUUUCACCGGGGACGAUAAUGACGGUACCCGGAGAAGAAGCCCCGGCUAACUUCGUGCCAGCAGCCGCGGUAAUACGAAGGGGGCUAGCGUUGCUCGGAAUUACUGGGCGUAAAGGGCGCGUAGGCGGACAGUUUAGUCAGAGGUGAACGCCCAGGGCUCAACCUUGGAAUUGCCUUUGAUACUGGCUGUCUUGAGUACGGGAGAGGUGAGUGGAACUCCGAGUGUAGAGGUGAAAUUCGUAGAUAUUCGGAAGAACACCAGUGGCGAAGGCGACUCACUGGCCCGUUACUGACGCUGAGGCGCGAAAGCGUGGGGAGCAAACAGGAUUAGAAACCCCGGUAGUCC
rnacentral:rRNA from 1 species